CUAAAUGUGAAUUAUAUUUACCAAACACUGAAUUAUUCAUCAGCUUGAAGAAGUUCUUCUCAAACGUUGAUUUUGCAUUUUGUCUCAUUGCUGUGUUGAAUUCUACGUAAGGUUUCAUAAAAUCUUCUUGUUGAAAUCCAAGCACACGAUGUAUUUUUUUCAAUUUCAGACCAAGUUGAAGGUACAAUUGCAAGUUUCGAUAAUGUAAAACAUAUUUGUGUUUGUCUUCAAGAGUGCAUUGCCGACCAACUUAAACCAGGACUUGUAUAAAAAUGGCAUGGAUCAAGAUGAUAGCAUUGUUGGGACAUAUUCCGAAAUUCUUCGAAAACAUCAGCCAGCAAUAACACAUCAGUUUUAAGGGCUGCUUGGACUCUGAGCAUAGUUGUGAUCAAACGUUGGUUGUAGUGGUGUGGAUUGUGUUGCCGCUAGCGAAGAUGUCUCUGAAGGUGUCUCCGAGUCGUCUGCAUUUAUGUUCUUUGCUGAAAUGGACGAAACACAAUCAAUGUCUGAGAAGGGAAUAUGUCAGUACGAAGUUUAUAAAGCUGGUUUGAGUGAGGACUCACAUCAACAA